AACGAACGCUGGCGGCAUGCCUAACACAUGCAAGUCGAACGAGACCUUCGGGUCUUGUGGCGCACGGGUGCGUAAGGCGUGGGAACCUGCCCUUAGGUUCGGAAUAACUCCCCGAAAGGGGUGCUAAUACCGGAUAAUGUCUUCGGACCCAAGAUUUAUCGCCUUUGGAUGGACCCGCGUUGGAUUAGCUGGUUGGUGGGGUAAAAGCCCACUAAGGCGGCGAUCCCUAGCUGGUAUGGGAGGAUGGUCAGCCAAACUGGGACAGGGACACGCCCCGAACCCCUACGGAAGGGAGCAGGGGGGAAAAAGGAACAAUGGGCGAAGGCCGAACCCCGCAAGGCCGGGGAAGUGAGGAAGGCCUUAGGGUUAAAAAGCUCUUUUACCCGGGAUGAAAAGAACGUACCCGGGAAAAAAAGCCCCGCCAACCCCCGG
rnacentral:rRNA from 1 species